UGCCCGUUGGUCAAACUGGUUAAGACGCUACCCUCUCAAGGUAGAAUUACGGGUUCGAGUCCCGUACGGGUGA
rnacentral:tRNA from 1 species